rnacentral:rRNA from 1 species
AGAACGAUUGACGGAGCAACGCGACGUCAAUGCGUCCAACAAAGUCGAGGCGGAAACGUCAGACAGUCAGUUUAAGGAUACGUUCGUUGGGUAGGGGAGCGUUCUGUAAGCCUGUGAAGGUGUACUGCGAGGUAUGCUGGAGGUAUCAGAAGUGCGAAUGCUGACAUAAGUAACGAUAAUGCGGGUGAAAAACCCGCACGCCGGAAGACCAAGGGUUCCUGUCCAACGUUAAUCGGGGCAGGGUGAGUCGACCCC